rnacentral:rRNA from 1 species
GGGGAAUUGUUCGCAAUGGGCGCAAGCCUGACGACGCAACGCCGCGUGGAGGAUGAAGACCUUCGGGUCGUAAACUCCUUUCGAUCGAGACGAACGGCCCUUGGGAUAACACCCUGAGGGAGUGACGGUAGCGAGAGAAGAAGCCCCGGCUAACUCCGUGCCAGCAGCCGCGGUAAUACGUAGGGGGCGAGCGUUGUUCGGAAUUACUGGGCGUAAAGGGCGCGUAGGCGGAUGUUUAAGUCGGGGGUGAAAGCCCAGGGCUCAACCCUGGAAUUGCCUUCGAUACUGGACAUCUUGAGUGCGGGAGAGGUGAGUGGAACUCCGAGUGUAGAGGUGAAAUUCGUAGAUAUUCGGGAGAACACCAGUGGCGAAGGCGACUCACUGGCCCGUUACUGACGCUGAGGCGCGAAAGCGUGGGGAGCAAAC